rnacentral:rRNA from 1 species
AACGAACGCUGGCGGCAUGCCUAACACAUGCAAGUCGAACGAGACCUUCGGGUCUAGUGGCGCACGGGUGCGUAACGCGUGGGAACCUGCCCUUAGGUUCGGAAUAACUCCCCGAAAGGGGUGCUAAUACCGGAUAAUGUCUUCGGACCAAAGAUUUAUCGCCUUUGGAUGGGCCCGCGUUGGAUUAGCUUGUUGGUAGGGUAAAGGCCUACCAAGGCGACGUUCCAUAGCCGGACUGAGAGGGUGAUCAGCCACACUGGGACUGAGACACGGCCCAGACCCCGACGGGAGGCAGAAGUGGGGGAUAGUGAACAAUGGGCGUAAGCGUGAUGCAGAGCCGGCGCGUGGGCGAGGAUGGCCUUCGGGUUGUAAUCGCCAUUCGCUAGGGACCAAGCUUUUUGUGACGGUACCUAGAGAAGAAGCACCGGCUAACUACGUG